ensembl:lncRNA
GUGAGGUUUUGUGUGUCCUUCUGACACGAUGGUCGAGACGGCCCAGGGAAGAGGAUGCUCCACGAGGCGUGGAGAGAAGGGAACCAUGGCCAGGAGGCAAGAGGAGCCUCCACAGAUCAACAGGCUCUGACAGGACCCCCUUCUCCCCUCCAGUACAUCAGAGGAUAUCAUUAAACUGCGAUCUGAAUAAUCUUUGAAAGAAGGUCUCGCAGAUGUGGGACCAGAGGGGCCCUUUAAGAGAUGCCUUGGGGUACGGCUGUUAACUUUCGCCAAGCUAAUCAAAGCCUGGAGUUACAACUGUGAGUGGGUGUAACUGCUUUGCAUCAGUUUCCUCCAAGAUUGCUCCUGGGGCCUUGGGGAUCUCUCUCUCUUUUUUAUUUUUCAAUUUGGAAAAUGGUGCUCUGUCAACAGUGCUUAUGUUUAGCCACUAAGGGGCAUCCUAAACAGCUGAUUUUUUAAUGGAUAAAGAUUGUUCCUUUCGGCAUUAUUAAUUACAAAAAAAUUUAUACCACGCUGAAGACUUUCCUGCACAAGAAUUAAUUCAAGGAAAUUUGAAAAAUGAACUCUUGGUCAGGUUCUAACACAUUGCCCAUCAUUUUCCGCCAGUGUGUCUGUUUACGUAUAAAAUUACAGAUGGAGAACGUGUGCAGCCUCUGCCUGGACGUGUCCAGGGGGAACGGGAAAACGUCAGCCGCGUCCAGGAAUGAGAAGCCAAGCGUGGCUCAGGCAGAGCCUGACGGGGUCGGUUCUCCCACAAAGGCAGAAAGUCGGGGAAUUCCAGGCUCGGUGGAAAAGGUAACCUGAACUAUUCUGCAGCGUUCGUCCAAUUGCACGUCUCCCUCAAAACCUCACUGACCCUGGAAGCACUUGUUUUAAAGUCUUGGUUGAAACAAAACUGGGAUUUUUAAGAAAAAUAACAAAUUUCUGGUACUUUAAGAUGUGAACGGUUUUAAGCUUUUACUGGCUUCUGUCAAAAUCAAAUUGGAGCAACUUCAGUCUCAGCUGCACCCAAAGUGGACGAAAACCCGGUUCUAUCCCCAAGGAACCGACAGCCAGGACGCGGCUGCGAGAACUGUGAUCCAGCUGGCAUCGCUGUCGGUGGUGUUCUCCUGUCCGGACGCGGAGGUGGGGCUGGCCGCUCGCUGUGCCCGUCCAGUGGGUCACCUCCCUCCACUGCCUGCCUGUGUCACGUUGCGUUUCAUUGCGAACAAGAUGAAAACAAAGACUGAAAGCAUAAGCCCGAAUGGGACUAAAGCUGGAAAGCGGCAAUUACGUGGAGCUGAGAAGGGAGUUGCUGACGCUCAUCAGACGAAAGUGAAUGUCCUUUUCUGUGGAAACAUCUCAUUAAUGCACGUUUCUUGGGUUUGGCUUUUCAGGAUCACAAGCAGGAAGACAUUAUAGAUAAAGAAAACACACACGUGUAUCUAGGACAUUUGCUGUGUUACUUCAAAGGAGGCAAACUGGAACAGGGACGAAGUCGUCAUGACCCGACACGGCCUGGCCUCUGGUGGGCUCCGAACCUCCGGACUGUCCGACGGGCUGAGACGCGGGCUGGGAGAGGGGCUCAGAGCAGCCCCGGGGCAUAUGGGAUGCUGUGCAGCCCAAGGCUGGGGCCUGCAGACAGCCUGCUGGGGUCUGUGAGUCGGAAUUGACUCGAGGCCACUAACAACAAGGGUGUGCGCACCUUCGUCUUUGCGAGACAGUAUCAAGUCGGCCUCUGCGCUGGUCACACCAGUUCACACUCCCACCAGCAACAUCCGGAAGUCCCAGUUGGUCUACGUCCCCCCAGUGCAUCUCAGGGUUUCUUCCUCUCAGCACUCGUGACUUCUGAGCUGGACAGUUCCCUGCGGGGUCUGUCCUGUAGCUGUGGGACGUUGAGCCACAUCCCUGGCCUCUACCCAGUAAAUGCCAGUAGCACCCCUGGUUGUGACAAUCAAACAUGACUCCAGACGUUGCCAGAUGUCACCGGGGGACAAAGUCACCUCAGCAGAGAACCACUGGUGUGUCUCAAGUUUCGUCAACGUCGUGUCAACGACAUCACUGUUGUCUUGGUUGCGUCUCUAACGACGAGUACGACUGAGCCUCCUGUCAGGACUCGGGCUUCGUGUUUCCUCUGUGAGAGUUUCCUGUUCGUAACUUGUGCCCAUUUUUAUAUUGGGUUGUUUGGUUUGUUCUUACACAUUUAUACAUUCCUUCAGUAUUUCAGAUACUUAUCUUUUGUUAGUUAUUCCAGUGGUCUUUCUGCACCAAAACAAUGUUCAUAAAUUUAUGCUUAUAAAGAUGGGAAACAAGCAUAUUGAAUUAAUAAAGCUCCAUGCAUUUUUAAAUAGAUGAGCUUUAAGAAUCCUUGGACAAUUUGAUCUUUCACUUUCUUUUAACCUUAAGCAAGAAGAGACAAUUUUUUAAAAAUUUCUUUCUGCCUUCGCAUUUUUUAAAUUUUUUACUCAAGUGCUGAUAAUCAGGAGUUGUUGUCAAGACUUUGGUUGAAAUCAAUCACAAUUUUGAGAAAAAUUAUCUCAAAGAUUUUUUUAUCUGAAAACAUUAACUAAUGAAGUUAUUAAUUAACUCUAAAAUGUUAAAGAUUUUUCUCACUGUAAGGAUUAUGGUGAGGUUUAACAUAAAUUAUUUUCUUGCUUUCAAGGAAGAUUUGUGGAGGAUGAGGAUCUGCUCUAGGUAGGACACUGCAGAUGUCAUAGAGUUGAGCAGAACAGCCUCCACUUGAGCAGUUUAUGAUUAGUUGGAAAAAUUAGACACUGAUGAGAAUAAUAUAACAGCAGAAUUUAACAGUUCGUAAAAACAAAAAGUGCUCACCUGCAGCCACACGCCUUGAUUCUGCAAACCUUCCCUGUGCACGAAAUUCAGGUCAGAGUCUGCCCUGAGGGGCGUCCAGUCCAGUGGAGCAGUCGGAGCGUGUGCCCCAAGGAAGCCGAGGUGGUUUUUUCUGGUUGUGAAGCUUCGAAAAGGUUAAAGAAGCAGAGACCUUCCGAUCCAGGCCUUAAGGAACAAGGAGACCGUCUCGGGGAGAAGUCUGCGUUCUGGCCGGCACACGGCUUUGCACCUUUGCGUCGCAGAAACAAGUGCAGCCUUGAACUUGGCAAAGGCUUGUGGGCGGAGACCUGCACCCUGGGACCCACGACUGGGGGACUCCACUGGCCCCUCGAAGCCCCCUUUCCUCGUCCCCCAGGGCAUCAUCAUAUAAAAAUAGUCAUUGCCUAUAAAAAUGCCAAUUCUUGUGUAAUUUUUAAGAAAACUACAGAGAAAUGCAUUUAUCUUCAUCAUCCUCGAUUAAAAGUCCAGUGUGCAGAUUCGUUGUCUGGAGAUGGAAGAGCUGCACCCACUGGGGGCGGGUGGGGCUCCUUCAGAGGCAGGAGGACUGACCUAGGCUCCCUCCCUCCCGCCUCUGUCUUUCAUUCGUUCUCAGUGUCUAACUUAGAACCUGUGAACAAAAAAAAGAAAUGAGUGUCUGGCCAGCUAGUCCUUCAGCUCCUGGAUGCAGGCGUCACGGAGAGAGUGCUGCCCCGGCCUUGACGGGUGUGAGCCAUUAACCUUCAAGCUGAUUCUGGAGACACUGUCGUGACAGUGUAACUGAAAGUUCGGUCUCUGAACCCGACGCCAAUCCAAAUAACGAGAACAGAGUCUUGAGCGGAAGAGGAAAGGUUUUUACUAUGCCAGGCACAGGGAGCAAAGCAAGGGCUCGUACCUCGAAAAUUGCUAGCUCCCCAAUGAGGAAUGGGCGGGUUCGAGCGCCGGGAGUCGAGGACUUGAGGUCUGGGAAGCCUCCGCUCCUUGGUACUUUGAGACAGCGGCUUUCCUGGCAAACUCGAGGACACAUGAUCAGCUAAACUUUAGUGUGCCUCCAACUCCAGGCCACCUGGGCUUUUAACAAUUUGUAACUCCCAUUUAGUUGUAAAGCUCAAAGAGUCCAAGUUUAAAGAAACAGGAACAAGUACCAAGUGAGAUUUCCUUCGUGUAAAUUUUGGUGUGGUCUUCCCCGUGGAAAGGGUGCAGGCGUUUCUGGUGCUCGCCCAGCGAGGUCGCUCCUCUCUCUGCACCUCCUCCCCUUCUUCAGGCCACGCUGGCUGCCUGUUCCAGAGGCGACGGUGUGAGAUGCCGGCUUAGGGACAGAAAACCUGAGGCUGAAUCCCCAUCUUGCAACUUGCGAGGAUCCUAUGCGGUCUCCAGAAUCCUCCCAGAAGGCCUGCGCCACGCCGUGUGUCCAUCUGCUCUUGUCUCCAAGGAUCUUUGGUCAACCCUGCUGGGAGGGGCCGGGCUUUGUCCCGAGGACCCAGAGUCUCGCCGAGUCUUUGUCCAAGGACAGAGUGAUGGUGUGUCAACGUCGAGGAGCAUCUAUGGAGACGAGACGGAAAGGACUGUCGUUAGAGUCGGUAUCCAGGGACAGGCUGAGAACUACAGGCCAGGGAGGCGAGGCUGGCGAGCCAGGCCGCGUGAAGCUGGUGAACGUGAGGAAGGCCCUGGCUUGUGGUCAAACAGUCUUCUCCAGCAGCUGGAUUUGGGUCGAGUUAUUGGACUUCUCUAAAACUCACUUUCCUUAUGUGGAAAAAAGCGGUGGAUCAUUAUCGUCCCUCAGAAGGCUUGACAGGAAUUAAAUGAAAUAACAUAGGUGCACGCCUGGCCCAUGGAAGAUGCACAAUAAAAGUUUGUUGAAAAUACCACGUGAAAUUAAGGUUCUCAGAGGCUGGGAGAGCUAACUUCUCCCAUUUCGGGAUGAGAGGAGAAAGAACGAUCGAUUAUUCAAGCGUAUUAUGUACUGGGCCCUUCCAUCCUAUAAGGUAAGUAUUAUGUGCAAUUUACAGUUGAGAAAUCUGAGGCUCAGAGGGCUUGGGUGAAUUACCCAAGGUCGCAAGCAAGUAAAUGACCAAAUAUAGACUCAGACCCAAGUCUGCUGUUGUCCCUUGUCAGAUCUUCCUAGGAGUCACGACCUUGGCUGACGCCAGGUAUCCGACACUGCUUCCAUCUCCGUCCAGCUGGAGCCCCACAAGGCAGAAGCGAGGCCCACCACGGAGGAAGAAACUAUGCGUCAGGCACCCUGCUGGGUGCUUAGAUAGUAAACUGAAUUAUACUCUCCUCCUGCGAAGCGGAGCUGGGAUCUUCUUUCAGGAGAGGGGCCUGGCCGGUCCUGGCAGAGUUUACACCAAAAUUAUCCGAGAGUCUCUUCUCAGCAGAGGGGUCGCUGUGUCCCGAGCACCCUGACUUGCAUUUUGCGUGUGUCUGUUUAGCUUUGUACCGUUGCUCAGAACGUGCACUGGUGCUCUGAGCCCGGUGGCAGGCUCUCAGCUACGGUUUUGUUUAUGUCUCGGAACUGGAUUAAUAAGUACCUGCUCGCCUGGAGCCGCCUGGAGCAUCGACACCGCAGCAGCAUUGGAAGCGGCUGCUCGCCCUGCUCUGCCGAUGGGUGCAAGAUGCAGCCAGCAAAGAAGGGGGGAGGUGUCAGGAAAGCUGCCCCGAGUCAUUCUCUUUCAAGCUGCGCUCAAGUCCCCACUGUUUGAGUCUCAGAAAAAUAUUCAGAAAAGGGGCUUUUCUAAAAUAUCACAAUUUCUAAACAGACUCAGACCUAAUUACAGAUGCAAACGGCGUUGUGCAAUCUCUCUUUACGCUUCCUUAAGGCACCCUCAGAGUCAGGCAGUCUUCCUGAGAAGGCCACAGAGAAGGCCAAGGUGGGCAGGAAGCGGUUCACACACCUGGAAGAUUUGUACCUACAGAGGGAAACAGUGAAGCACGAAGGGCAUUCCUAUCGCAGAGGGGAUGGAAAUGGAAUAAAAAUCACACUCCUUGUCAGGCAGAACAUAAACGUCUUUAAAACAACAUGGCUGUGAUUUUAUGGGACAGAAAAAUCCGGACCAUUCUUUCGAAAUGGCAUUUCUGCCGCAAACCUUUGAAGAAUCACCGUAGCCCAAGGUGAAGACGGCACCGCGUAACAGAAGGCCCAGCUGGGACGCACACAUCCCCAGGUGGGAGAAAACGAAGUGACGUGAAUCACAGGCAUUCGGCGUGCUGUUACUCACUGAUACUCGUAAUAUCACACAGUUUAUGGAUGACGGCAGGACAGGUGGUGGUACCAGGGGACCGCCGUUCCACGGAGGAAUUCAGACUUCCCUGUGAUGUAAUCGUGGAAGUGAGUUCAAUAUCAUUGCAAUCCGAUUGGUCUGCGGGGACCCUGAGUCAGCCUGUGGGUAAC